rnacentral:rRNA from 1 species
CCUACGGGUGGCAACAGUGAGGAAUAUUGGUCAAUGGGCGGGAGCCUGAACCAGCCAAGCCGCGUGAGGGAAGAAGGUACAGCGUAUCGUAAACCUCUUUUGUCAGGGAACAAAGGCGGGGACUAGUCCCCGGAUGAGGGUACCUGAAGAAAAAGCAUCGGCUAACUCCGUGCCAGCAGCCGCGGUAAUACGGAGGAUGCGAGCGUUAUCCGGAUUUAUUGGGUUUAAAGGGUGCGCAGGCGGCCUGUUAAGUCAGCGGUAAAAGCCCGGGGCUAAACCCCGGCGAGCCGUUGAAACCGGCGGGCUUGAGUAGGAGAGAGGUACGCGGAAUGCGCGGUGUAGCGGUGAAAUGCUUAGAUAUCGCGCAGAACCCCGAUUGCGAAGGCAGCGUACCAGCUUCACACUGACACUGAGGCACGAAAGCGUGGGUAUCGAACAGGAUUAGAUACCCUAGUAGUC